CCUACGGGAGACAGCAGUAGGGAAUCUUUCACAAUGGGCGAAAGCCUGAUGGAGCAACGCCGCGUGCAGGAUGAAGGCCUUCGGGUUGUAAACUGCUUUUAUAAGCGAGAAAUAUGAUGGUAACUUAUGAAUAAGGAUCGGCUAACUCCGUGCCAGCAGCCGCGGUCAUACGUAGGAUCCGAGCAUUAUCCGGAGUGACUGGGUGUAAAGAGUUGCGUAGGUGGCAUAAUAAGUAGCUAGUGAAAUCUGGUGGCUCAACCAUUCAGACUAUUAGCUAAACUGUUAAGCUCGAGACCGUUAGGGGUAACUGGAAUUUCUAGUGUAGGAGUGAAAUCCGUAGAUAUUAGAAGGAACACCAAUAGCGUAGGCAGGUUGCUGGGACGGUUCUGACACUAAGGCACGAAAGCGUAGGGAGCAAACGGGAUUAGAUACCCCAGUAGUC
rnacentral:rRNA from 1 species